rnacentral:rRNA from 1 species
AGAACUAACAGGGAUUGCCCCAGUAACGGCGAGUGAAGCGGCAAGAGCUCAAAUUUGAAAGCUGGCUCCUUCGGGGUCCGCAUUGUAAUUUGUAGAGGAUGCUUCGGGAGCGGUCCCCAUCUAAGUGCCCUGGAACGGGACGUCAUAGAGGGUGAGAAUCCCGUAUGGGAUGGGGUGUCCGCGCCCGUGUGAAGCUCCUUCGACGAGUCGAGUUGUUUGGGAAUGCAGCUCUAAAUGGGUGGUAAAUUUCAUCUAAAGCUAAAUAUUGGCCGGAGACCGAUAGCGCACAAGUAGAGUGAUCGAAAGAUGAAAAGCACUUUGAAAAGAGAGUUAAAAAGCACGUGAAAUUGUUGAAAGGGAAGCGCUUGCGACCAGACUCGCUCGCGGGGUUCAGCCGGCAUUCGUGCCGGUGUACUUCCCCGCGGGCGGGCCAGCGUCGGUUUGGGCGGUCGGUCAAAGGCCCUCGGAAGGUAACGCCCCUAGGGGCGUCUUAUAGCCGAGGGUGCAAUGCGACCUGCCUAGACCGAGGAACGCGCUUCGGCUCGGACGCUGGCAUAAUGGUCGUAAACGACCCGUCUUGAAACACGGACCAAGGAGUCUAACAUCUACGCGAGUGUUCGGGUGUCAAACCCGUGCGCGAAGUGAAAGCGAACGGAGGUGGGAACCCUCACGGGUGCACCAUCGACCGAUCCUGAAGUCUUCGGAUGGAUUUGAGUAAGAGCGUAGCUGUUGGGACCCGAAAGAUGGUGAACUAUGCCUGAAUAGGGCGAAGCCAGAGGAAACU